CCUACGGGGGGCUGCAGUGGGGAAUAUUGGACAAUGGGCGAAAGCCUGAUCCAGCCAUGCCGCGUGUGUGAAGAAGGCCUUCGGGUUGUAAAGCACUUUCAGUGGGGAAGAAAGCCUUGGGGCUAAUACCCUCGAGGAAGGACAUCACCCACAGAAGAAGCACCGGCUAACUCCGUGCCAGCAGCCGCGGUAAUACGGAGGGUGCGAGCGUUAAUCGGAAUUACUGGGCGUAAAGCGCGCGUAGGCGGUCUGAUAAGCCGGUUGUGAAAGCCCCGGGCUCAACCUGGGAACGGCAUCCGGAACUGUCAGGCUAGAGUGCAGGAGAGGAAGGUAGAAUUCCCGGUGUAGCGGUGAAAUGUGUAGAGAUCGGGAGGAAUACCAGUGGCGAAGGCGGCCUUCUGGACUGACACUGACGCUGAGGUGCGAAAGCGUGGGUAGCAAACAGGAUUAGAUACCCUAGUAGUC
rnacentral:rRNA from 1 species